UACGAGGGGUGCAAGCGUUGCUCGGAAUUAUUGGGCGUAAAGGGUAGGUAGGUGGUCUCAUUUGUCUGGGGUGAAAGCCUUGAGCUUAACUCAAGAAGUGCCCUAGAAACGGUGAGACUGGAGUCUUGGAGAGGGUCGUGGAAUUCCCGGUGUAGCGGUGAAAUGCGUAGAGAUCGGGAGGAACACCAGCGGCGAAGGCGGCGACCUGGACAAGUACUGACACUCAACUACGAAAGCGUGGGUAGCAAACAGG
rnacentral:rRNA from 1 species